AGGCCCUAUUCCCUGGCCCACAUCCUCCAACUUCCAGCACAGGGCCAGCUAUUCAGGAGGCGCCCAGAAAUGGCCUACACAUUGAUUGACAAGGGAACCCGAGUUCAAGGGCAUGGCAGGAAAUCCCUGCAAGUCAGUGGCACGGUUCUUUGAGGCAGGCGGGGUGUGACCACAGGAAGAACCAGAACCUGAUGCGGAGGACCCGUGAGGGUUGUCACUUUUGGACGAGGGAGCCAUGGGCGAGCUCCUUCAUCUCCCUGAACAGCAGUCUCCCCGUGUGAGUCAUAACGGGAGUGAUGACAGCAUCCUGGGCAGCUCCCCACAGCAGAGUACAGCAGAGUCGCUUGACUCAAACAGGGCAACGCGUAGGGAAGCAGGCGAUGGAGCAAGAGGCAGUGGGGACUUGGUUUCGAUUGCACAGACAGCCUGCACUGUGACAGCCAUCACGAGAUCUUGGGAGCGUGAGGACUCAGUGGCUGCUUUGACCCUCCGGGAGGUCGGGCCUGGGCUCCAUGCUUUCAGAUAAGCAUGUCUCAGCUGGGCAGAGUCCCCUCCAGAAGGCAGGGGUGUGGGAAAAUGCCUAUUGUCUUCACUAGCAGAGAGGUGUGGACAAGGAACCCAGAAGGCUGGUGAUCCUUGAAGCCCUUGCAAAGAUCCUGAACCCUGAACCACACGGGACGUGGCGGGAAACAUUUACAACAAGCAGUACCCAUCCAGGCCUCGGUCCUCAGAGGUAGGACGCCGAUGGGAUGUGUUUCCUGCCGCAAGUCCAGAACUGAACUCCCGCCCAGCCCCUCCUCUCCAGCCGGCCCACCUCGACGGAUGGUAACCUUUCUCUUCUCCAGGCCAGAUCCUUGGAGUCAUCAUCCUUAAUUCUUCUCUUUCUGUCACACCUCACAUUCAACCCUCCAGCAAAUCCUGAUCACUGCCUUCAAAUGGUCAGGGUGAAUGAGUUGAGAGUGCUGUAGUCGGAAGGUUCUUAUCUAUAAAAAGGCAACUUCA